AAGGGAGUGGGACGGUAGUGAAGGGAGGGACUGAGAGGGGGAAGAUGGCUGCCCGGCAGUGGAGGCCCCUGUGCAUCAGCAUAUACUUGAGUUCUUGCACUCCAAUAUGUUUCUUCUAAGAGCUCCUUCCUGCCCCUGGACGUUCCAUAUGUCGAUCCUCUGAGACUUGCUUCUACUUCAGUGUGCAACCAAAGUCUCCUCCUCUUCCUGACAAGUAUAAAGCUGACAUUUCCUCAUAUGAAUCGCUCCUUUUGGACAUUGUACAUCACCUUUCUGUUGCUGCCUUAUGUCAACUAUGCUGAGGUCUGCAUGUGUCCUAUAUUGAAGUCUGGCUCCAUGACUACAUUUUGCUUCACUCUGAACUUAAUCUUUUCCUGUAUUUUACAACACUGUACGUUGUUGAGGUGCAUAUAUCUACUGCUCUUAAUAUUAAAGCAAUAGUUGAUUAUAAACCCUUCAAACUGACCUCUUGGCAUCUUAUUACUGUUUUAGAUUUGCUUCUACUGCUCAUUUUACAAUGGUUUAUUGCUCAGCUUUGAACUGUCAAAAUGCUACGAGUGGGGUAUAUAAGAACAGUACAGUUACUUUCUAUGGCUUUCCUUUACAUAACAAACCUCUCUUGAAGCAGUGGAUUCACAACAUGGGUCGGGAAAUGGGAACUCCAUCAAAACAUCAGCGACUAUGUUCUAAACAUUUUGAGGACAGUUCUUUUGAAAUUGAUCCUCUAAAAAUUAGGAAAAACCGGCGCCUACUGAAAGAAGCAGUUCCCAAAAAAUUCAUUUUGGGCGAAGACGGAAACUGGCUUGUUGGAACACCUCAAAGUUUCUGUGGUGGAAUAAGUAAUAAAACUCGAAAACGAAUCCGGAAUCCUGAACAUUUGAAGGUCCCAGGGACAUUUGAUAAUGUUGCAGCUCCUGAAGGGAAGAAUUUAGAAGAGUGGCAAAAAGAGCUUUACAAAAAAGUGAUAAAGGACAAUUAUGAAUCUUUAAUCUCACUGGGUAAAGUCUCCAAACAUGAUAUGCAGUCUAGAGAAGAGCUACGUGUCAAGGCUCAGCGGGGCUUGGAGGAAAGAGAAAUGUCUA